rnacentral:rRNA from 1 species
UACGUAGGGUGCGAGCGUUAAUCGGAAUUACUGGGCGUAAAGCGUGCGUAGGCGGUUCCUCAAGUCCGUUGUGAAAGCCCCGGGCUCAACCUGGGAAUGGCAGUGGAAACUAGGGGACUGGAAUCUGGCAGAGGGGGGUGGAAUGCCGCGUGUAGCAGUGAAAUGCGUAGAGAUGCGGCGGAACACCGAUGGCGAAGGCAGCCCCCUGGGCUGAGCAUGACGCGUCAGGCGAGCUGACAGCGUGGGGAGCAAACAGG